GUGUGCGAGAGCGACCGCGCAAGCGCAGGCCUCAUAGAGUGAUCGUUAACGUCACUUUCUCCCUCUCUUCCUCCCCUCCACUAAGUGCGAGGGAGGAGCGGAGCAAGUGCUGACAAGGAGCGUUGAAAGGAAAUGGGACGGAGGGAGGGAAGAGCUGACUGGGUGAAGGGGAAGCCGGACCUCGAAACCUACACCUUGUAUCCUGUGCUGGUUCCCAAGCCUGGACCGAACCAAUGGCUCUCUAACUCCAAACUGAAGUCAACCAUGAUGGCAACAGGCCAGGACACCAAGAUCUGGACUGAAUAUAGAGGAAUCCUGAAGGAUGCUCCAAAGUGCUCCAGCUGCUGCAAUCAGAAGAAAGGACUGUCAUAGUGACAUCUUUUAACACUGCAGAGAAGGCUGCCAAGAUGAUGAUGAUGAGUCCUCUUCACUGAGUCCUUUAAAAUUGGUCUAGACAAGCAGUAGGGAAUUAUCUUCAGGGAACAAUUUUGAUCUGGCGGAGAGGACAAGUGGAUGAGCUAGUAGGCCUUAGUAGCCUUUAAUUUCUAUUAUUCAUAUUUCAUCAGUCAACACUUGUAUCAAGACAAGAAAUUCAGUGCCACCCAAAUUAGUGUCAUUUAAAAUUUUUGGAUUGCUGUCAGCAAUUAUUUCAUAGCUGCAUGUUCAAUAGACCUGUUAACCUGUAAGGAUGCACUCUUCAGAUGGUAAAGCCAAAAUGAUGCCUCCCAUGAUAGAAAGUGACAGCAGAAGGUAGAGACAAAACCUAGCCUUUAAUUGUUGUCUGCAUGUACGAAGCAACAAUCUGGAUAUACUUUGGUCACUUUUCUGCCAGUGGCUAAAAUCUGAGGCUUGGAGAUAGAAAAUUUCUAAUUACAGUUCAGCCUUGAGGCUCAGCAGGUAGCUUUGUGUGGGCCCUAGAAGCUCUCCCCCUUAGAUGCUAAGCCAUAUAUGUUGCCCUGCAUUCUUUGGGAGGAAGAUAAGAACAGUGAUCAUGCCAAGAAUUUUGAAGCUGCCUUCACAACUUGGAUUUGCCUCAUAUCAAAGUUUUCAGUUCCACAACCAUGAACUUUCUUUUUCAUGGUCACACAAAAAUUUUAAGUGGAAGAUAGGCUAACAAUACCUCAAAUAAAAUAAACAUUUUUGAAAACACAGUUCAUUCAGAAUGCACAAUAUAUUUAUCUGAAAUGGUCUUGGCCAGCCAACCCCCCCCCCCAAAAAAAUCAUAUUUGCUUCUCAUUUGAUUGUUUUCAUUUACAAAGAUUUAAACAUGCUAAUUCUAGUGAAACCAAUGGAAUAAGUACUCGGAAUACUGGGAAUUCCAUGAAUGGAGAAACAGGGUAAAUCUUAUUUCUAAUAAUUUAAGUUGGCAUUUCUUUGGAUAAUUAAAUCCAGUGACUGAAGCUGUGAAUGGGCAAGACAGAUCUACUGCUGCAGCUGUGGGGGUGAGGAAGAAGGCAGGAGGCUGGGAGAGUGAUGGGGAGGCAAAAAGAGUGAGUGAUGGGGUGGGAGGCAGAAAGAAAGUGAUGAGGUAAGAGAUGGAAAAAGCAAGAGAUAUGAUGGGAUGGGGGCAAGAAAGAAAGUGGAGGAGUAGAGUAAGAAUAGGGAUGGCAGGAAGGAGAAAGAGUGUGAGAGAAGUAGGGGGAGAAGGGAAGAAACAAAGGUUGGGGGUGAAUGUGUGAAAACCUCAUUUUAAUUGGCCCAGGGGGAGGGAAAGGUAUUAAAGCUUUUUCUGUGCUCUUUGCCUAAUGAAAUGGCCCCCAUUGGUUCAAUCAUACAUAUCUGCAUCACAGAUUAACCUUUGAUCCUGUCCAGUGAAUAAACUUAUUUUUGUGAA